UACGGAGGUUGCAAGCGUUGUUCGGAAUUACUGGGCGUAAAGGGAGCGCAGGCGGCUUGGUCAGUCUGAAGUGAAAUCCCGGGGCUUAACCUCGGAAGUGCUUUGGAUACUGCCAGGCUUGAGUUCGUGAGAGGAAAGCGGAAUUCAGGGUGUAGCGGUGAAAUGCGUAGAUAUCCUGAGGAACACCAGUGGCGAAAGCGGCUUUCUGGCGCGAAACUGACGCUGAGGCUCGAAAGCGUGGGUAUCAAACGGG
rnacentral:rRNA from 1 species